CCUACGGGUGGCAGCAGUGGGGAAUAUUGCACAAUGGGGGAAACCCUGAUGCAGCGACGCCGCGUGAGUGAAGAAGUAAUUCGUUAUGUAAAGCUCUAUCAGCAGGGAAGAAAAUGACGGUACCUGAGUAAGAAGCCCCGGCUAACUACGUGCCAGCAGCCGCGGUAAUAAGUAGGGGGCAAGCGUUAUCCGGAUUUACUGGGUGUAAAGGGAGCGGAGACGGCAGUGCAAGUCUGGAGUGAAAGGCGGGGGCUCAACCCCCGGACUGCUCUGGAAACUGUACGGCUGGAGUGCAGGAGGGGGAAGUGGAAUUCCUAGUGUAGCGGUGAAAUGCGUAGAUAUUAGGAGGAACACCAGUGGCGAAGGCGGCUUACUGGACUGUAACUGACGUUGAGGCUCGAAAGCGUGGGGAGCAAACAGGAUUAGAUACCCUUGUAGUC
rnacentral:rRNA from 1 species